rnacentral:rRNA from 1 species
AUUGAACGCUGGCGGCAUGCCUUACACAUGCAAGUCGAACGAGUGGCGGACGGGUGAGUAAUAUAUCGGAACCUGCCUGAUGGCGGGGGAUAACUACUCGAAACAGUAGCUAAUACCGCAUACCAUCGGAUUGGCCGAUAUGGGAUUAGCUAGUGGGUGGGGUAACGGCUCACCUAGGCGACGAUCCCUAGCUGGUCUGAGAGGAUGAACAGCCACACUGGGACGGAGACACGGCCCAGACUCCUACGGGAGGCAGCAGUGGGGAAUAUGGGACAAUGGGGGCAAGCCUGAUGCAGCCAUGCCGCGUGUAUGAUGAAGGCCUUCGGGUUGUAAAGUACUUUCAGCAGAGAGGCGGUAUCUGCAGAAGAAGCACCGGCUAACUACGUGCCAGCAGCCGCGGUAAUUC